UGAAUACAACGUCCAAUACUAUGUUGAAUGGAAAUGUGUCAAAUAUUUUCCUACUGUCCAAAAGAGGACUGUUGGUUGUACUCCUAGGUGUGUGAUACUCACUUAUUUUGAUCAGGAUUUCGUUGGCUCAAAUCAACCAGCAAAAAACCAAAUAACUCCUUUAACGAUGGGCAAAGGACAUAAACAGACAUUUCUCAAAAGAAGACAUCCAAGUGUCCAAAAAACAUUAAAAAUGCUCAGUAUCACUAAUCAUCGGAGAAAUACAUAUGAAAACCGCAAUGAGAUACCAUCUCACACCAGUCAGAAUGGCUAUUAUAAAAAAGUUAAAAGACAACAGAUGCUGCCAAUGCUGCUAAAAAAAAAAAAAAAAAAAAAGAAUGCUUAUACCCUGUUGGUGGAAAUGAAAAUUAGUCUAGCCACUGUGAAAAGCAGUUUGGAGAUUUCUCAAAGGACUUAAAACAGAGCAACCAUUCAACCCAGCAAUCCCAUUACUGUGUAUACCCAAAGGGAAAUAUAUUAUUAUAUCAAAAAGACACAUGUACUUGUAUGUUCAUUGCCAUGCUAUUCACAAUAGCAAGGAGGUGGAAUCAACCCAGUUUCACAAUAGUAAUGACAUGGAAUCAACCUAGGUUCCCAUCAAUGGUGGACUGGAUAAAGAAAAUUUGGUACAUACAUACCACCGAAUAGUAUGCAUCCAUAAAAAAUGAUGAAAUCAUGUCCUUUGCAGCAACAUUGAUAGAGCCUGAGGUCAUAAUCUUAAGUGAAUUAACCCAGGAACAGAAAACCAAAUGCCACAUUGUCUGACUUUUAAGUGAGAGCUACAUUGAGCACAUAUGAACAUAAAACAUGGGAAAAAUAGGUAUGUAGACUACUAAAGGCAGAAGGGAAUGAGGGAGCAGUGGAUGGAAAAACAACCUUGGGGGCACUAGCCUUACUACCUAGGUGCAAAACACCCAUGUAACAAGCCUGCUUAUGUAUCCUGUAUCUAAAAUAAAAAUUGCUUUUUUUUAAAAAAAAAAAGGAGAAUGAGAAGCAAAAGGUAAAUAGAGAGUGAUCAUUAAGAGUAUAAACUCUGAGACCUACCAACCCAAUUUCAAAUUCAAUGCUGCUAUUAGCUUAGGAAAGUUAUCUAAUCUCUAUUCUUCAGUUUACUCAUCCCAAUUUGGCAGCUGUUGGCAAUGCUUUCUUCCUCAAAGAGUUAUAAUUAGAAUUACAAAAGUUAAUAUACAAAAGUACUUAGUACUAAUACCAAAGUACUUAGAAUAGUACUUGGUAUAUUGUACCAGAUAUUUUUUGUCAUUAUUAUCUACUAUGUGUCCUAUUUAUUUAAUGUACUAUGUAGACCAAAUCAAACCCGUG
rnacentral:lncRNA from 1 species